AAGAAAGUGACAGAGUGGUGAUGUAACUGGCUUGAAACCAGUUUAGGGGGGUUCAAUUCCCUCUUUUCUCG
rnacentral:tRNA from 1 species